AGUGAACGCUGGCGGCAGGCCUAACACAUGCAAGUCGAACGAGUGGCGGCCGGGUGAGGAAUGUAUCGGAAUCUACCCUGUCGUGGGGGAUAACGUAGGGAAACUUACGCUAAUACCGCAUACGAUUGAAUGCGCCCAUGUGUGAGUAGCUAGUUGGCGGGGUAAAGGCGCACCAAGGCGCCGAUCCGUAGCUGGUCUGAGAGGAUGACCAGCCACACUGGAACUGACACACGGUCCAGACUCCCACGGGAGGCAGAAGGGGGGAAUAUUGGACAAUGGGCGCAAGCCUGAUACAGCCAUACCGCGUGGGUGAAGAAGGCCUUCGGGUUGUAAAGCCCUUUUGUUGGGGAAGCGGUAACCGAAGAAUAAGCACCGGCUAACUUCGUGCCAGCAGCCGCGGUAAUAC
rnacentral:rRNA from 1 species